UUAACUCAAAUUUGUAUGGAGUUGAACGCUUGUCUACGUUUGCCGCUAGGGGCGCUGUUCCAACUGCAUACAAAUUUGAGUUA
rfam:Bombyx mori DNA, contig: Bm_scaf99_contig35718, strain: p50T/Dazao, build 2, whole genome shotgun sequence.